GUGCCAGCAGCCGCGGUAAUACGUAGGUCCCGAGCGUUGUCCGGAUUUAUUGGGCGUAAAGCGAGCGCAGGCGGUUUGAUAAGUCUGAAGUUAAAGGCUGUGGCUCAACCAUAGAUCGCUUUGGAAACUGUCAAACUUGAGCUGCAGAAGGAGAGAGUGGAAUUCCAUGUGUAGCGGUGAAAUGCGUAGAUAUAUGGAGGAACACCGGUGGCGAAAGCGGCUCUCUGGUCUGUAACUGACGCUGAGGCUCGAAAGCGUGGGGAGCGAACAGGAUUAGAUACCCUGGUAGUCC
rnacentral:rRNA from 1 species